CACACUUUUGAUAGUUGAUGUUCCAUACAUUCUUCUUUGUUUCCUGCUCCUAAAUUGUGUUAUAUACCAGUUUAAUAAGCGGUGUAGACACUUGCACCAAUAAAAGAAUGUGGUUAGCAGGCAACAAGAAGAAAUGUGUUCACAUCCAGGUAACCUGAAAUUGUACAAGUGUAGAAAUUUCUUCAGCACAAGGCAUAUAUAGAUAGAUAACCACGUCAGACAACAUCAGAAGUCCAUACAGGUAAUGCAUCUGGUUAAGAACAAUGUAAACUGCAUGUACACCCAAAAAAUUGUAUUUCAAACAGAAAUUCAAUAAGGAAGCAAACAAAGUUACCCAUAGUCCGUGUAAUAUUCCCCAUGCGAUGCCCAAAGGGUCCCUGUUCACUUAUCUCAGGGAUAUCACAGACAAAGCUGAAACCAGCUCAAGUAGAGAAUAAAGUGGAAGUGUUGCUUAUGAUGCUAGUAAAAAAUGUCUCCUGAGUAAGUCAGGGGAGUUGAAAUGGGGAAUCCUUGAUAGGAUUACGCAAUCUGGGCAGGCAAUGGGGACUUGAGAAAGAAAAUAUAGCAGAA